rnacentral:rRNA from 1 species
AUUGAACGCUGGCGGCAGGCCUAACACAUGCAAGUCGAGCGGAUGAAGGGAGCUUGCUCCUGGAUUCAGCGGCGGACGGGUGAGUAAUGCCUAGGAAUCUGCCUGGUAGUGGGGGAUAACGUCCGGAAACGGGCGCUAAUACCGCAUAUGCCCUGAGGGAGAAAGUGGGGGAUCUUCGGACCUCACGCUAUCAGAUGAGCCUAGGUCGGAUUAGCUAGUUGGUGGGGUAAAGGCCUACCAAGGCGACGAUCCGUAACUGGUCUGAGAGGAUGAUCAGUCACACUGGAACUGGGAAACGGUCCAGACCCCUAAGGGAGGGAGGAGUGGGGAAUAUUGGACAAUGGGCGAAAGCCUGAUCCAGCCAUGCCGCGUGUGUGAAGAAGGUCUUCGGAUUGUAAAGCACUUUAAGUUGGGAGGAAGGGCAGUAAGUUAAUACCUUGCUGUUUUGACGUUACCAACAGAAUAAGCACCGGCUAACUUCGUG